UACGUAGGGUGCAAGCGUUAAUCGGAAUUACUGGGCGUAAAGCGUGCGCAGGCGGUUUUGUAAGUCAGAUGUGAAAUCCCCGGGCUUAACCUGGGAACUGCGUUUGAAACUACAAGGCUAGAGUGUGACAGAGGGGGGUGGAAUUCCACGUGUAGCAGUGAAAUGCGUAGAGAUGUGGAGGAAUACCGAUGGCGAAGGCAGCCUCCUGGGCCAACACUGACGCUCAUGCACGAAAGCGUGGGGAGCAAACAGG
rnacentral:rRNA from 1 species